UCAGCAAAUUUUCUGGCCACAGAUCAUAGGUCUGUCGGCUGAAAUGGUCGCAUGACGAUCGUGAGCUUGCAUCUGGUGGAAACGACAACCAGCUUUUGCUGAUUGGGGGAUGAUACAUCUUCGGUAAUUCUUGUCCGGUUUAUUGAUGAGAAGCAGAUGGAGUUCUGAUACUUUGUUGGAGUGGAAGCGCCUAAGAUGAUUUUUCAACUGUCAAGAUCUGCAAACUCUUGAGACCGCCUGUGCCAGCAAAGACUUGUCCCAGCAGUAGAGGAAAAUGACUAAGCUGCAGACAGUUUGGAUUGAUAACAUCAAUGCAUCUAACUGUGAAGAACUUUUCGAUGCCCUCUCAUAUAUGCCACUACUGUCAAGCGUACUCCUCUCUUCAAGUGAUGAGAAGGAGACACUUUCUUUCCAAAAGCUCAAGCCAAUUUCAACCAGGCUUCACAGACUGAUUGUCAGAGGCGGCUGGGCCCAUGAGACAUUCAACUGCCCGAUAUUCAUGGAUCCAAGUUUUCCUACUGAAACAUUUGCCGGAGUAGAAGAGCAGAAUCAGAGCGAUGACGUGCCGUCCCGUGCCAGAGGAGAAGAGCAGAAUCAGAGCGAUGUCAUGUCGUGCUGUCACAUGCCUAAGUGGCUGCCUUGCCGGAGUAGCCUGGGGGGGAGGUGCUGGAUGGGG